UACGGGGGGAGCAAGCGUUGUUCGGAUUUACUGGGCGUAAAGGGCGCGUAGGCGGCGCAACAAGUCACUUGUGAAAUCUCCGGGCUUAACCCGGAGCGGUCAAGUGAUACUGUCGUGCUAGAGUGCGGAAGGGGCUACUGGAAUUCUCGGUGUAGCGGUGAAAUGCGUAGAUAUCGAGAGGAACACCUGCGGCGAAGGCGGGUAGCUGGGCCGACACUGACGCUGAUGCGCGAAAGCCCAGGGGGAGCGAACGGG
rnacentral:rRNA from 1 species